rnacentral:rRNA from 1 species
CCUACGGGGGGCUGCAGUGAGGAAUAUUGGUCAAUGGACGAGAGUCUGAACCAGCCAAGUAGCGUGAAGGAUGACUGCCCUAUGGGUUGUAAACUUCUUUUAUAUGGGAAUAAAACGUUCCACGUGUGGGAUUUUGUAUGUACCAUAUGAAUAAGGAUCGGCUAACUCCGUGCCAGCAGCCGCGGUAAUACGGAGGAUCCGAGCGUUAUCCGGAUUUAUUGGGUUUAAAGGGAGCGUAGGUGGAUUGUUAAGUCAGUUGUGAAAGUUUGCGGCUCAACCGUAAAAUUGCAGUUGAAACUGGCAGUCUUGAGUACAGUAGAGGUGGGCGGAAUUCGUGGUGUAGCGGUGAAAUGCUUAGAUAUCACGAAGAACUCCGAUUGUGAAGGCAGUUCACUGGACUGCAACUGACACUGAGGCUCGAAAGUGUGGGUAUCAAACAGGAUUAGAUACCCUGGUAGUC